CCAGCGUCCGCCUGCAGGUGCGGGGCGGCGCGCUGGGCUCGCGGGCCGCGUUCUCGUCGCCGCCCGGGUCCCGGGUCUCUGGCGUGCUCUCCGGGCCCGCUGUAGUCGGGUUCCUGACGACUCAGCGCCCACUGCCUUCGGCUUCGCAUUUUUAAUUUCCCCGAACCCGCCUUCCCUGAGCCCGAAGCCGCUUCUCCGCAUUUUCCCAGCACAGCCGCCACUUUGCGCCACAGGCAAAGUCACGGGAACUCCAUCCUUUCACUCCUCAGCACCCCGGCCGGACCCCACGCCCUCCCGGCCAGCGCGGAAAGACCUGGCGGGGGAUUAGAGACCGGGUUCUGACCGGGUGCUCCCUGCGCGGGCAGGCAGUCCCGCCGAGCUGUCGCCGAGCCCCGUCCUCUCCGCGGACCCCGUUUCGGGACUCCGCUCUUAGGUCUCCUCGCUGAUUUUCCGCUUGUGGGUGACUUUCUUUUCUCCUGUGUGUUAAAAGUGCGAUAGGUGCUGAUUAGUCAACGUUACUGAACUGAAUUCAUGAAGCAUUCCUGAGGUGUGCACAGCCACGCUGAACGUCAUCAGGAGUACCAGAAGGAUUUGGAGAGCAGAUGCCCAGUGUGAUGUCCUUCUGAGUCUUUGUGGCUCUCCAUCCAGUUUGUAGACAACCGACCAUCUUUCCACGUGGGUUGCCUUUAUAAGGUAUGCCACCUGCACCAGCUCUGUGAAGUGCCUCCCUGGUAAGGAGACUACCCUAGGUGGAAAGAUGGUAAUGAAAUUUUACUUCCAUUUGGUUCUCUCUGAUCUUUUUCUCUAUUCUGUUCUCAGAUGAAAUGAAUGAUCCCACAACAGAAUAGCAGUUGGUACCAGCCUUUUCUCUAGUAACCUUGAAUCUUACAGUACACGUGCACGGGGAUGUGGUGAUAGGUCUUAAUUCACAGCAAAGGAAAUUACCAUUUAAAAAUCAUGACUCUUACCUGAGAUAUUUAGCAAACGGUACCCACCACUUAACUGCUCUGGACUGCAUCUGUGGACAAAGUCCGAUAUGAUUGCAUUCGAGUUCCCAUUGAAUCAUUAACCGGUGACCUGAGGGAACCCAUCCACCUUCCUCAGUCUCAUAUCUAAACAGUCAGGCUCCAGUUAUAAGGCCCCACCCAGCUGCUGAGUUGGAUGACUUCAUCAAGUUAAUGGCAGUUCCAACUUUCCCAUUUUGUUGUUCCCCUCCUCCCAUUAGGGACCUCCCAAGCAGGCUCUUGUCUUCCUGUGAAUGGGGAGGCUCUGUAAUGGUCAGGGAGCCAUGAGUCAAGAGGCCCUUGUUCUUAAUCUUUGAGUCUCACUUUGCUGAACAGGGGAUUUCCAGUCAUGGUCUACAUGGCGUAGGCUUCCCCCCAUAUAGAAAUGACCCACCUUCCUGCUUAAGAUUCCAAAUACAUUUAUGUUAAAAUGUGCUUGAAACAAUGUGUUCUGAGGUUGCUUAGAAUUGGUUGGAUUAAAAAAAAAAUGAGAACAAACAAAUAUGGAAGCACUGAAUGGAAUAGUUGAAAUUCAGCACACAGUUGCCUACCCUAAAAAAGAAAUGCAUCCUUGUGUCUACACCCUGGGGCAGGCACGCACAGCACAGGCUCAUUUCACUAAUGACACAGUGACCAAAGGAAGAAGCUGACCUGCCCAUUCAAGAACAAGUAGGAGAGGUGGACCUUGCACAUUCCAGCUAGGACUCCAACUCAGGUCUUCCCUCUUAGGCCAAUUCUCUUUCCAGUGCUCCAACUCAGCUUUCCAAGCUGUAUAUUUGAGCAAUAUCAUUGUUUAUAUUUAUGCUAUGUGUAAUCCAAGAGCUGUCCCCAUUUUUCUCAUGUGUGAUCCUGCAGAAUAGAUACCACCGACACAUUUAGAAAGCCUUUCAGAAUGAUUCGCAUUUGGAGAAAGAUUCUGCCACAAGACAUUCGUACCAGGCAGUCAGAGAAUCCACAGCCUCCAUUUGUGUCUUAUGAAAGUUCUUUUAUAAAGCUGAAGAGACCGAAAUUCCUGCUUUGUAUUUUAAAAAGAUUGGUUAUGAAUGCCGAUGGUUGGUUUUCGCCUGUCUUCUUUCUAUUUUUGCUGUCUGGUCGGCACAGCCGUGGCCUUUGGAAGCAGCUGGGAUAUAAAUAUAAAGUGGGAAUGGAGGCCCAUUAGCGAAGGGAACAGCUGACGAAGCACAGCUACGCUCUGCAGGGCGGCCCGACCAGCCCGGGCACGUUGGUUUCGGUCUGAUUGACUUGUCGGCUUUAUGCUGAGCCGGCUUUAAUGAUUUAAGGGUUGGCAUAGGAAGCAGGGUUUCUUGCCAUGAGACGAUCCAUCUCUAUUUGUAAUCUACGUGGUAAUUAAAACCAGACUUUUUGUUGGAGCAUCGGCUUCGACAGCAUUCUGAAAUGUACAAUUACGUGAUGUGCCCACUUCCAGCUUAGUUUUAAAGGUGCACGUUACGUGUUAGUAAAAUGUUUUUUAAAAAAUCAUUUAUGGUUCUAUGUCGGUUGAUGGGCAUCAUCCUUGCCAAUUUGUAGAUGGGUCAGUUCGUGACUAUAUGUCCUCACCUUGGAAAGGUGCUAGUCUAAAAGCAAGGUGAGCAUUUAUGAUGACAUUUGUGAUUCCUUUUGCCAAUCUUGGCCAAGUUUUGUUUCUAUUCUCUUCCUUUGUUUUUGGAGGGGUUGUUUCUUAAACUUCUCAGGAGGGAAGAUUACGAUUGAUCCUUAGUAAUAGUCGGCUUACAACUCAAAUUAUUCACUCUAACGUUUUUCUGUCAGGGAACUAGAAGUCAUAUGCGUGCACCAAGUAGAAAACUCUCCCCUUAUUUUGCUCUCUGCUCACUACAGCAAGCACUGAGGAAGUGUCCACGCACUGACAGCCACCCUGGCAUAACAAUGGUUGGAUGCAGAUGUGACCUCAGCUUCUGCAGGAAUGCACAGCUCUUUUGCCUGUUCAGCGAACUCCAAAUAUUUUGUAGGAAAAAAAAUACACUUAUAUAUAUUUUUUCUAUUACAAUAAUUAAAGGUUGCUUUGGCUUUAAAUAUCCAGAGAGCACAUGACUCAGACUUCUACCUUCCCAUGUUUUCCAUAUGUGCCAGUGUUUAGAACAGUGCGUGGCUCAGUCUAAGUGCUCCGUAAGUACUAGCAACUAUUCUUAAUUGUCUAGUAAUUGUCUUGCUUUGCUGAUUCUCUGGGUAGUUAGGAGCAUUUUGAAUCAUGUGGCAUUUUUUCAGAGGUUCAUGCAUCAAAAACCUUCCUGUCACCACUCCAGGCAAACUUGCUCUUCUUUCAGAAUUUCCUAUCUUGGUACAGGGUACCACCAGUAACGUACACUAGCUUACUCCACUGGCCUCCCACCUGCCACAGGGUCUUUGCAUACACUGUUCCUUUUGCUAGAAUGUCCUUCAUGCUUCUCCCAGUUAACUCCUGCUCUUUAUCAAGGACCACACAGCUUAAGCCUCCUUCUGCAGAGAUGGCCUGUUGGACCCCCUGAACAGGCAAAUCCUAUGCACCGCCUGUCUAGCACUUAGCACAUUGUGCCAUUUUACAUUUAAUCAUGUGAUUAUUUUUUUGAUUAAUGUCUACCUCUUCCAUCAGGGUAUAAGCUCCUGAGAACUGAAGCUUUAUUCAUUUUUUUUUUUUACCAUCAUGUUAUCCCUAGAACAUAGUGUGUUCCUGAAUAAACAUUAGUUGAAAGAACGGAUUAGAAGGUUGUAGCCCAUGUGUUGUGUGGAGUGGUUCACCAAUUGUUUAUAGUUUAAUUACAAAAGUGACACAAAGUGUUUGUAAUAGAUGGUAAUAAUGUAGAAAUAUAUGUAGUAAGAAAUAAAACUGCUCCUGUACCCCAUAAUCUCCUCUCCCAGAGUAUCCACUAUUGACACACUAUUAACACAAGCUUGGCUUACAUUCUUCCAAAGUUUUUUCUCCCUCUAUAUUUAGUAAUCAUAUCCACUUAUAUAGUUCCUACAGGAAAACAGGAUCAUAUGUGCAUUUUUGUUUGUAUGUUUUAUUUACCAUUUUAGUGGAACUGUCUUUGUAGGUCUGUGCACAGUAUCUCAUGCUUAUUCAAGUGAUGAUGAAAUACUUCAGAAAGGCCUAAGGAAAAUAAAGUGAGCACUCUUGAACUUACCACUCAACUUAAAAAAGAUAGCAAAUUCCCCUCCACCUGAGGUAACCACUACCUUGAAUAUGGUGGUUUUUUUUAUGACCACUGAAGGUUUACAUCUAUAACCACUGAAUAGUCUUUGCAUAUUUCUAAAUUUUAUAUCAGUGGUCUGCAUGUAUUUUCUGCCUCCUGAUAUUUGUACUCAACAUUUUGUCAGAUUCAUUCAAACUGAAACCAGUAGCCUGGGCAAGUUCAUUUCCCUCAUGCUAUAAUUAACAAUACAGUCUAUUGUUAUGCAUUUGGGUAGCCAUUCCUCCUUCUCCUUUUUUGGCUAUUUCAAUCAAUGCAGCUAUAAACACUCUUGCAUCUGCCUUCUGCACAUGGGGGAGAAGAUUUCUCCUACUUGGGAGGGCAAGGGCUGAAGGGCACGAAACGCCCAUGUCCUUAGACAUGGCCAACUCUAGUUCCUGAAGUUCUUUUUUUAUUUUUUGCCUACAUGGUAUCUCAUAAAAAUACCAUACAUUCAUGUAUUUCAUAGUAUUCCAUAAAGAUGAUGUACACUGAUUUAUUUAUCUGUUCCCUACUGCAUAUACUGGAUUUAUCUGGGGGGCUUAAACAACAUGAAAUGUCACCUCUCUUUAGUCGGAUGACCACAUCGGUAGGGCACGGGAGGGCUGGGCGGCCCUCUGCAGUACUGGGACUCAGUGGACCCUUCCCAUGGAGCUUCAGGAAAGCUUAUUCUCAAUGGAUGGUGGAACAAGGGAUUAGGAACCUCUAGUCCUCAGUGGAUGCUCAGCAGAGGCAGGCAAAGGGCUCAGGCCCCCAGCUCACAUAACCGGCCUAAGCCUGGGAACUGAGUCACAGCGGUAGGCCACAACAGAGAGGCCGAAGGAAACAUGCUCCCUUUUGUCUGCACCUGUAAAAACCCCAGUAUCAGCUCCUGGGCUGCAUUGUCCUGGAAAAGGGGAAACAGAUGGCAACUUAAUAGGAACCUGAUAGCAUUGUUUGGGACUGAGCAGGGAGUGUCCUCUGGGGACUGGGAGAGAAGUUUCAGCUAAGAAUCACAGCAGCUUAAAGAAGGUGCUUUCUGUGCUACUUCCUCCCUCCCCACCUCGGCCCUAGGAGCUUGGAGCUGGAGAAGAAUGCGCACAGGCCUCCACUGUCAGCCUGCUGCCAGGCCUGCCCAAACUCCCCAGGGGCUGUGCCCAAGCACCUUUGGGGUGUGUGUGUGUGUGU